GCCAGUUUGGCUCAGUGGAUAGAGCAUCAGCCUAUGAACUGAAGCGUCACAGGUUUGAUUCCUGUCAAGGGUU
rnacentral:tRNA from 1 species